UGGGGAAUAUUGGGCAAUGGAGGCAACUCUGACCCAGCAACGCCGCGUGAAUGAAGAAGGCCUUCGGGUUGUAAAGUUCUUUAAUGGGGGACGAAGGAAGUGACGGUACCCCAAGAAUAAGCCACGGCUAACUACGUGCCAGCAGCCGCGGUAAUACGUAGGUGGCAAGCGUUGUCCGGAAUGACUGGGCGUAAAGGGAGCGUAGGCGGCGCGGUAAGUUAGGAGUGAAAUCCCGGGGCUCAACCCCGGAACUGCUUUUAAAACUGCCGUGCUUGAGUGAUGGAGAGGAAAGCGGAAUUCCUAGUGUAGCGGUGGAAUGCGUAGAUAUUAGGAGGAACACCAGAGGCGAAGGCGGCUUUCUGGACAUUAACUGACGCUGAGGCUCGAAAGCGUGGGGAGCAAACAGGAUUAGAUACCC
rnacentral:rRNA from 1 species